AGAUGUUCUCAGGGCGGGGUGCAAUUCCCCACCGGCGGUAUCGGGCAUAGCCCGGAGCCCGCGAGCGCUUUCAGGGGUAGCCUUGAAAGGUCAGCAGAUCCGGUGAGAUGCCGGAGCCGACGGUAUAGUCCGGAUGGAAGAGAGCACGC
rnacentral:ncRNA from 2 species